GAGAUGACUUCUCUGUCAACAUAUUUGAUUGUUCUUUUAGAUUGUGUUAUUUUUUGGAGAGAGUUCUUUCUAAGUUUGGUGAUAGUUACUUUGGAAGAAGCGCAAACUUUAGACUCCAUCAUAUUUCAUAUUGAGAGCUGUUGAAAAUAUCUCUACGCCUCAGAAGCCCAGGUCUAAAAAUAAGUGGUAAGCUGAACUUGGCAACAAGGAUUCGGUUAGCUGAACUUGGCAACAAGGAUCCAGGUGGCUCAUGUGGCUCUCAAGCAUCGCUUGAAGGUAACACAAUAAUAAAGGAUUAUUGUAUUCAAGCCCUCUAACAUGUGACGAUGAGUUAGAGAUUAUUGGAAGGACAUUAAAAAGGAACAGUGUGUCUGUCACCGUAGUUAACUUUGAUGAGGAAGAUGAGGAAAUGCCCUUUCUGACAUGCUGACCCAUGUUGCAAAGUACUGCUCUAUUACUUGAUGGCAGUAUUGUUGCAAAGAAAAGACGCAUUAGAAUGGGCUCAUACAGGAAAAGACGCCGUCAAGUCAAUUUGGUUCUUGCUUGUGCUAAAAAAUAUUAUACUUUGGUUUGUACCCUUACUUAAUGAAAUCAUUUACUGUGGUGAUAGAGAGGUCACGAAAGAAAUUAAAAGCACAUGCCAGAAACAAUAGAGCCCAGGCACUGUUACUUUCUACUCAGUUCUGGAAACUGCACCUUUGCUGUGUCUUAUGUAUAGUUGUCUUUGAUCUCUGUGUACCUUUGAUUAUGUCAAUUUAUCUUCGAGAUAUUUGGUUAUCUUUAACGUUGAUGUUCCCAAUGAUUUUAAUUCUUUAUGCACUUUCACCAACAAAUGUACAAGAACUUUCAUGCU